GUCCUCUUAGCUCAAUUGGGAGAGCGCCAGACUGAAGUCUUCGGUCAUUAAAUCUGGAGGGUGAGUUUCAUCUGAUUAAUUAGCAUAGACUGGCGCUGACAUAAUCAGUAUUGUGUUCGAUCCACAAAGGGGACA